GAUGAACGCUGGCGGCGUGCCUAAUACAUGCAAGUCGAGCGAACAGACGAGGAGCUUGCUCCUCUGACGUUAGCGGCGGACGGGUGAGUAACACGUGGAUCACCUACCUAUAAGACUGGGAUAACUUCGGGAAACCGGAGCUAAUACCGGAUAAUAUAUUGAACCGCAUGGUUCAAUAGUGAAAGACGGUUUUUCUGUCUCUUAUAGAUGGUUACGCGCGGCUUUGUCUAGUUGGUAAGGUAACGGCUUACCACGGCGACAGUGCGUAGCCGAGGUGAGGGGGUGAUCGGCCACUCUGGAAGUGACAGACGGCCCAGGCACCUAGGGGAGGCAGAGGUAGGGAAGCUACGGCGAAGGGGGGAAGCCUGCCGAAGCAACGCAGGGUGGAUGAUGAAGGUCUGCGGGUCGUAAAACGGUGUUCUGAGGGGAGAACAAAUGUGUAUGUAACGAUGCAUGUCUGACGGGAACCGAAGCAGAAGGCCACGGCUACCUACUU
rnacentral:rRNA from 1 species